AUGAACGCUGGCGGUAUGCUUAACACAUGCAAGUCGAACGGACUCUUCGGAGUUAGUGGUGGACGGGUGAGUAACGCGUGAGAAUCUGGCUUUGGGUUCGGGACAACCACUGGAAACGGUGGCUAAUACCGGAUGUGCCGAGAGGUAAAAGAGAAAUUGCCUGAAGAUGAGCUCGCGUCUGAUUAGCUAGUUGGUGAGGUAAAGGCUCACCAAGGCAGCGAUCAGUAGCUGGUCUGAGAGGAUGACCAGCCACACUGGGACUGAGACACGGCCCAGACUCCUACGGGAGGCAGCAGUGGGGAAUUUUCCGCAAUGGGCGAAAGCCUGACGGAGCAAUACCGCGUGAGGGAAGAAGGCUCUUGGGUUGUAAACCUCUUUUCUUAGGGAAGAACAAAAUGACGGUACCUAAGGAAUCAGCAUCGGCUAACUCCGUG
rnacentral:rRNA from 1 species